rnacentral:rRNA from 1 species
GAUCCUGGCUCAGGACGAACGCUGGCGGCGUGCCUAAUACAUGCAAGUCGAGCGAAUGAUAGGGAGCUUGCUCCCUUGAUUUAGCGGCGGACGGGUGAGUAACACGUGGGCAACCUACCUGUAAGACUGGGAUAACUUCGGGAAACCGGAGCUAAUACCGGAUACUUUUUUUUCUCGCAUGAGAAGAGAUGGAAAGACGGUUUCGGCUGUCACUUACAGAUGGGCCCGCGGCGCAUUAGCUAGUUGGUGAGGUAAUGGCUCACCAAGGCCACGAUGCGUAGCCGACCUGAGAGGGUGAUCGGCCACACUGGGACUGAGACACGGCCCAGACUCCUACGGGAGGCAGCAGUAGGGAAUCUUCCGCAAUGGACGAAAGUCUGACGGAGCAACGCCGCGUGAACGAAGAAGGCUUUCGGGUCGUAAAGUUCUGUUGUUAGGGAAGAACAAGUACCAGAGUAACUGCUGGUACCUUGACGGUACCUAACCAGAAAGCCACGGCUAACUACGUGCCAGCAGCCGCGGUAAUACGUAGGUGGCAAGCGUUGUCCGGAAUUAUUGGGCGUAAAGCGCGCGCAGGUGGUUCCUUAAGUCUGAUGUGAAAGCCCACGGCUCAACCGUGGAGGGUCAUUGGAAACUGGGGAACUUGAGUGCAGAAGAGGAAAGUGGAAUUCCAAGUGUAGCGGUGAAAUGCGUAGAGAUUUGGAGGAACACCAGUGGCGAAGGCGACUUUCUGGUCUGUAACUGACACUGAGGCGCGAAAGCGUGGGGAGCGAACAGGAUUAGAUACCCUGGUAGUCCACGCCGUAAACGAUGAGUGCUAAGUGUUAGAGGGUUUCCGCCCUUUAGUGCUGCAGCUAACGCAUUAAGCACUCCGCCUGGGGAGUACGGCCGCAAGGCUGAAACUCAAAGGAAUUGACGGGGGCCCGCACAAGCGGUGGAGCAUGUGGUUUAAUUCGAAGCAACGCGAAGAACCUUACCAGGUCUUGACAUCCUUUUGCCCUCCCUAGAGAUAGGGACUUCCCUUCGGGGACAAAAGUGACAGGUGGUGCAUGGUUGUCGUCAGCUCGUGUCGUGAGAUGUUGGGUUAAGUCCCGCAACGAGCGCAACCCUUGAUCUUAGUUGCCAGCAUUUAGUUGGGCACUCUAAGGUGACUGCCGGUGACAAACCGGAGGAAGGUGGGGAUGACGUCAAAUCAUCAUGCCCCUUAUGACCUGGGCUACACACGUGCUACAAUGGAUGGUACAAAGAGCUGCGAACCCGCGAGGGUAAGCGAAUCUCAUAAAGCCAUUCUCAGUUCGGAUUGUAGGCUGCAACUCGCCUACAUGAAGCCGGAAUCGCUAGUAAUCGUGGAAUCAGCAUGCCACGGUGAAUACGUUCCCGGGGCCUG